AAGGCUCACGGACGGUAAAUUUUAAAUUUAAAUCUCGUGCCUAAUUGGAUAAAGCAGUACGACCUUGCGAGACGUCACUUUAUAUUACGUCACUUGAUUCAAUUACGCUUAUCCAAUUAGGCACGAGAUUUAAAUUUAAAAUUUACCGUCCGUGAACCUU